UUCUCUGUAGUAUUUGUCAGCAGCCCAGGUAUCCUUGAGCCUAUAAGCUUAUUUUUGGGACUGAACUGUUGAGCGAUGUUGUGCAGGCCCACCUCGUAGUGGGAAGCCUGAUUCGCUCGGGAAAGUCCCUCGUUUGAACCCCCGGUUCAAGUCGACGGACUGCAACGGUACUAUGGAGG
rnacentral:other from 1 species